UACAGAGGUCUCAACCGUUGUUCGGAUUCAUUGGGCGUAAAGGGUGCGUAGGUGGUUGGGUAAGUCUGAUGUGAAAUCUCCGGGCUCAACCCGGAAAUGGCAUUGGAUACUAUUCGGCUAGAGGUUUGGAGGGGGGACUGGAAUUCUCGGUGUAGCAGUGAAAUGCGUAGAUAUCGAGAGGAACACCAGUGGCGAAGGCGAGUCCCUGGACAACACCUGACACUGAGGCACGAAAGCUAGGGGAGCAAACAGG
rnacentral:rRNA from 1 species